UACGGAGGGUGCAAGCGUUGUCCGGAAUCACUGGGCGUAAAGGGCGCGUAGGCGGCUCAUGAAGGCUGUGGUGAAAGUCCGGGGCUCAACCUCGGAUCGGCCGUGGCGACUCGUGGGCUGGAGCACUGUAGAGGCGGGUGGAAUUCCGGGUGUAGCGGUGGAAUGCGUAGAUAUCGGAAGGAACACCUGUGGCGAAAGCGGCUCACUGGACCAUUACUGACGCUGAUGCACGAAAGCUAGGGGAGCAAACAGG
rnacentral:rRNA from 1 species